UACGUAUGGUGCAAGCGUUAUCCGGAUUUACUGGGCGUAAAGGGAGCGCAGGCGGCGCGCCAAGUCUGAUGUGAAACCCCGGGGCUCAACCCCGGGCAUGCAUUGGAAACUGGCGGGCUGGAGUGCCGGAGAGGUAAGCGGGAUUCCUAGUGUAGCGGUGAAAUGCGUAGAUAUUAGGAGGAACACCAGUGGCGAAGGCGGCUUACUGGACGGCAACUGACGCUGAGGCUCGAAAGCGUGGGGAGCAAACAGG
rnacentral:rRNA from 1 species